AUAUUCUCAUCCAUUUCCCCAAAUUCAUUACUCAUUGUUUACCUCGCCGCUGUUCUUGAAUAUCUCGCCACUGAGGUUUUGGAGUUGGCUGGAAAUGCUGCAAUGGACAACAAGAAAACUAGAAUUGUGCCAAGGCAUAUUCAAUUGGAUGUUAGGAAUGAUGAAGAAUGGAAACGAAACCUGUUAGAAAGAAAAAUUAAACAAGAUGAACAAAUCUGUUAGUGAGGAUGAACAAAUCUGUGUUGGAGGAAGAGGAUCAGGAUUGUUGUUAUCCUCUAAGGAGGACUGCUGCAACGAAAAAACCUCAAUACAGUGAACGGAAGGUGUCGAAGGCGGCAAGAAUUAAGAUGUUGCAAAUAAUUGGAAUUUCAAUGAGGUGUAUUUGCCAACAUGCAAUGUUUUAUCUUGCUGCUGCAGUAUCCAACUAUUACGUUCCUUGGAAGGAUAUGGUAUAAAUAUCAUAUGUUGGUUAAGGGACAAGAGAUAUAUCAUCUGAAGAAAUUUUCAGUAUUGCUUGUGUUUGAGGUGGAAUUUGUGUUUAGAGAAUUUGACCUUAGUUUCUAGUGUAAAUACCAAUAAUGUAAACAUGAAAUGUAAGAAUGGUGCCUUGGUUCUGUCUAGUAGUAGUACUUGUAAUAUUUAAUUGUUAGAAUUGGGUGUCGAAGGGAGAACAAGGAAAAAGGAGGCACAAGUCUUUAUUAAGUUGAUAUUUUUAACUUUUUUUUA